rnacentral:rRNA from 1 species
AAUAGAUACCCGGGUAGUCCACCCGUAAACGUUGGGACUAGUUGUGGGUCCAUUCCACGGAUUCCGUGACGCAGCUAACGCAUUAAGUUCCCCGCCUGGGGAGUACGGCCGCAAGGCUAAAACUCAAAGGAAUUGACGGGGACCCGCACAAGCGGCGGAGCAUGCGGAUUAAUUCGAUGCAACGCGAAGAACCUUACCAAGGCUUGACAUAUACGAGAACGCUGCAGAAAUGUAGAACUCUUUGGACACUCGUAAACAGGUGGUGCAUGGUUGUCGUCAGCUCGUGUCGUGAGAUGUUGGGUUAAGUCCCGCAACGAGCGCAACCCUCGUUCUAUGUUGCCAGCACGUAAUGGUGGGAACUCAUGGGAUACUGCCGGGGUCAACUCGGAGGAAGGUGGGGAUGACGUCAAAUCAUCAUGCCCCUUAUGUCUUGGGCUUCACGCAUACUACAAUGGCCGGUACAAAGGGCUGCAAUACCGUAAGGUGAGCGAAUCCCAAAAAGCCGGUCCAGUUCGGAUUGAGGUCUGCAACUCGACCUC